rnacentral:lncRNA from 1 species
GGAACAAACUUGCUGGAUCUAGUGUACAGAAACCUGAUUCUGGGUUCCUUUGGGAAGGAGCAUUAUGGGCCUGUGUGGGCGCUGGAGAGCAUAACUGAUGAGGAGGACUCUCCAGCUCCUGGACCACCUCAUAUCACCAGCACCCUCUACCCAAGGUCCUGGAGCCAACACUGGAGUAAAAGAGCAGAAGAGAGCUCCUUAGAGGUGGAGGUGCAGAAGAACACAGGUGUUUGUGUCAGAUGGCCAGGGUCCAAUCCUGCUUCUGCUGUAGUGCAAUAUAGAAGCCAAGAACACUUGACUCAUGUCAAGUCUACCUGUUUAUCCACCUGUCCAUCUGUCUGUCCAUCUACCCAUCAUCCAACCAUGGAACUCAGUGCCAACUCCUGAGGGUAUUGUACAGCACUGCCUAU